AAUUAUUCAGCAUCUUCAAUGAAGUGGAAACGUAAACUGUAUGACACAGAAGAAAAGUUAGAUGACAUGACAAAAAUUUUUUAAAAUGCUGUUAAAAGGAAGCAGAGAGCCAAAACAUUUUGCAAGAAACAAACAGAUAAGUUGUAUGCAGAAAACCAUUGAACUGAAAACAAAAUUAGACUCCUUUGGGGACAUGCCAUGGGAGUUGUUUAAGAAAGAUACCAAAGAAUACAACACUUCUCAGAGAGAUUUUGCGAUAUCCCUUCACCUUAUGUCACCAAAAGCCUAUGAUUAUCUAAGAACUGCUGGGUUUCCUCUGCCCCAUCCAAGGACAUUAAGAAAGUGGAUGGGAAGUAUCGACUGCAGUCCAGGAUUAAAUGACGCAAUGAUCACAGUUCUUGCCGAAAAGCGCAAAAUGUCACCAGAGAAAUAUACCAGUUGCUGUCUCAUGUUAGAUGCUAUGUCCAUCAGAAAACAAGUGGAUUAUAACCAACACAAUGGCCAUUUCACGGGUUAUGUUGAUUUAGGUUAUGGAGAAGAUGAAGAGGUUGAAGCCAAAGAAGUAUUGGUAUUUAUGGUUGUGGGCCUUGGUGGGCAUUGGAAAGCUCCUGUUGGAUACUUUUUUACAGGCGGUUUAUCUGCAGAAACACAAAAACAACUGGUCACUCAUUGUCUUGAAAAACUGUUUGAGCUAGGGGUGGGCAUGCCACUAAUAUGGCUAUGUGUAGAUUGCUUGGGGCUAGGCUUGAUUUUUCAACGUCUACUGAUGAGAUUAAGACUUCCAUAACAUCAUUAGGUCAAAGCCACACUACUUAUAUCUUUCCUGAUGCUUGUCAUAUGAUCAAAUUAUUUCGAAACACUCUUCAAGCCUAUGGUGGAUUUACUAGUGAUGAUGGAAAGGUCCUUUGGAAAUUUAUAAAAGAGCUUAAUGAUGUUCAAAAUGAAUCUGGUCUGAAGCUAGCUAACAAACUAUCAAUGAAACAUAUACAAUUUGCUCAACAGAAGAUGAAGGUCAGUCUGGCUGUUCAAGUUAUCUCCUCAUCAGUAGCGAAGGCAUUUAGAACAAUGAAAGACAUUGGUGAUAAACGAUUUGCAGAAUGUGAAGCCACUGCAAAAUUC